rnacentral:rRNA from 1 species
CUACGGGACGCUCCAGUAGGGAAUCUUCCGCAAUGGGCGAAAGCCUGACGGAGCGACACCGCGUGAAGGAUGAAGGUUUUCGGAUUGUAAACUUCUUUUCUGGGAGAACAGUAUGAGUGUAUCCUAGGAAUAAGCCCCGGCUAACUACGUGCCAGCAGCCGCGGUAAUACGUAGGGGGCAAGCGUUAUCCGGAAUCACUGGGCGUAAAGCGUCCGCAGGUGGGAAAGUAAGUUAAAUGUAAAAUCCCGAUGCUCAACAUCGGAUGCGUAUUUAAAACUACUUUUCUAGAGGAUGGGAGAGGCGAGUGGAAUUCUCGGUGUAGGGGUAAAAUCCGUAGAUAUCGAGAGGAACACCAAAAGCGAAGGCAGCUCACUGGAACAUUCCUGACACUCAUGGACGAAAGCGUGGGGAGCGAAAAGGAUUAGAUACCCGCGUAGUC